CCUACGGGCUGCAGCAGUGGGGAAUAUUGCACAAUGGGCGCAAGCCUGAUGCAGCCAUGCCGCGUGUAUGAAGAAGGCCUUAGGGUUGUAAAGUACUUUCAGUUGGGAGGAAGGCGUUGAUGCUAAUAUCAUCAACGAUUGACGUUACCAACAGAAGAAGCACCGGCUAACUCCGUGCCAGCAGCCGCGGUAAUACGGAGGGUGCAAGCGUUAAUCGGAAUUACUGGGCGUAAAGCGCACGCAGGCGGUUGAUUAAGUUAGAUGUGAAAUCCCCGGGCUUAACCUGGGAAUGGCAUCUAAGACUGGUCAGCUAGAGUCUUGUAGAGGGGGGUAGAAUUUCAGGUGUAGCGGUGAAAUGCGUAGAGAUCUGAAGGAAUACCAGUGGCGAAGGCGGCCCCCUGGACAAAGACUGACGCUCAGAUGCGAAAGCGUGGGGAGCAAACAGGAUUAGAUACCCGGGUAGUC
rnacentral:rRNA from 1 species